AUAAAUUGCACACUCUGUGGGUCUUCCAGUUCUCAGAAAACCCAACAGCAGAUGUGGUCAUUUGAUAAUGCCCUUAAAUAAAUGUAAUAGGAACUGGGGUUCAUUUUCUACGUUACAGGAAACGCGUUUAUCAUGAAUCCAAAUGGAAAUGGAAGUUCUUCAUGCAUUGAUGUGGCGGGUGCUUGAAGUGGACUACAACGAACAUUAGGGGUUAGAGGAUGAGGGUUCGAUCUAGAUAGAACCCAUAUCUCAUUUUGCGUGUGUUUUUUCCAUUACUUGUGUAUCAGUUGUCAUGAUUUUUCCUGACUAUGUCGUUUUGUGCUUUACAACCAUGCAAGUGUCUGGAAUUAUAGCAGGGUUCCGCAUGCAUUUAUCAGGACUAAGUGUAUGAGACUCAGGAGUUAGGUCGUUUAUGGGCGGUAGAAUUGCUUUGCUGUGUUGUUUCAUGUUUUUGUUUUCAGGAAAUUAUGCUUUCAAAACAUUAGAACAUAUCACGAUGGGCUUUGUGGAUUGCCAAACGGGGAUUGAAUAUCAAUGAAACGAGGAUGGUGACGCAGGAUUUCAUUGUGAAGCAGCUUCGGUCUCGUAACAUGGUGAUGAAGAAGGUGCAGUCUGCUGGUUGCAGCGAUGGCGAAGACAGCAGCAGCAGCGACGAGGAGUAGGAAGAUAAGUGGAUUGAAGAGGAAAUAUAAAUACAGAACUGAUGCAUAUCUCUCAACAAUUCGUCGUGGAUCACAAGAUGGAAGAGGGGAAGAGCCUGCAAACUACACCUAGCGGAUCAGGAGACUCAAAAUUGAAGAGCCCAAGGCAUUGCUAAGGUUGGGGCAGUGGAGUCAUAUUCAGAAGAAUAUAGUAGCUCCCAGUUGGAAAGGAUAAGCAAUGAAGAGGUGGCAGGGUGCAAAGUUGCAGAACAUUGCUAUCUCUGAAAAGACAGAAAAGAACACAUGUGCGCAUCUCGCUUUCAUGCUUUAUAUCUUGAAUCGAAUUGAGUUAAAUGUA